GACGAACGCUGGCGGCGUGCUUAACACAUGCAAGUCGAACGGAAAGGCCCUGCUUUUGUGGGGUGCUCGAGUGGCGAACGGGUGAGUAACACGUGAGUAACCUGCCUUUGACUUUGGGAUAACUUCAGGAAACUGGGGCUAAUACCGGAUAGGAGCUCCUGCUGCAUGGUGGGGGUUGGAAAGUUUCGGCGGUUGGGGAUGGACUCGCGGCUUAUCAGCUUGUUGUGGGGGUAGUGGCUUACCAAGGCUUUGACGGGGAGCCGGCCUGAGAGGGUGACCGGCCACAUUGGGACUGAGAUACUGCCCAGACUCCUACGGGAGGCAGCAGUGGGGAUUAUUGCCCAAUGGCCGGAAGCCUGAUGCAGCAACGCCGCGUGCGGGAUGACGGCCUUCGGGUUGUAACCCGCUUUCGCCUGUGACGAAGCGUGAGUGACGGUACUGGGUAAAGAAGCACCGGCUAACUACGUG
rnacentral:rRNA from 1 species